UACGAAGGGGGCUAGCGUUGUUCGGAAUCACUGGGCGUAAAGCGCACGCAGGCGGAUUGAUAAGUCAGGGGUGAAAUCCCGGAGCUCAACUUCGGAAUUGCCUCUGAUACUGUCUGUCUUCGAGUUCGGGAGAGGUUGGCGGAAUUCCUAGUGUAGAGGUGAAAUUCGUAGAUAUUAGGAAGAACACCAGUGGCGAAGGCGGCCAACUGGCCCGAUACUGACGCUCAUGUGCGAAAGCGUGGGGAGCAAACAGG
rnacentral:rRNA from 1 species